rnacentral:lncRNA from 1 species
GAUGCCUCCCGGCCGCCGUAGGCGAAGGUUCGCGGAAGAGGGGAGCAGGCGCUCACCUGAGCUGACUCAGAAAUUGGAAUGAGUUGUCUGUGGAUCCUGUAAGGAGCCUGGACAUGGUGAAGAGAAUGCCUUGACCAUCAGGAGACAGCUUAGCUUGUUGAAUCUUGAUCACUUCUUCUGACCGCUUUGGAUCUUAAAAGAACAAGGCUCACAGACUACCAUUUAAGGACAUGGUCUCCAAGGAUGUCGUGGUGAUGCAGGAUCAAGUCCCUCAUGGGAGGAUGACAAUCCUGGCUCUAAAGCUGACCCCGGGGGAGCUCUUGGCAGCAUGUUCUUUGGAACUGUUUGUGCCUCCUCCGAAGAUACUAGACAACUAUGAGUCAAAUUAAAAUGCUUCCUUUGCAACA